rnacentral:rRNA from 1 species
CGAGCGAACAGAGAAGGAGCUUGCUCCUUUGACGUUAGCGGCGGACGGGUGAGUAACACGUGGGCAACCUACCUUAUAGUUUGGGAUAACUCCGGGAAACCGGGGCUAAUACCGAAUAAUCUGUUUCACCUCAUGGUGAAAUAUUGAAAGACGGUUUCGGCUGUCGCUAUAGGAUGGGCCCGCGGCGCAUUAGCUAGUUGGUGAGGUAACGGCUCACCAAGGCGACGAUGCGUAGCCGACCUGAGAGGGUGAUCGGCCACACUGGGACUGAGACACGGCCCAGACUCCUACGGGAGGCAGCAGUAGGGAAUCUUCCACAAUGGGCGAAAGCCUGAUGGAGCAACGCCGCGUGAGUGAAGAAGGAUUUCGGUUCGUAAAACUCUGUUGUAAGGGAAGAACAAGUACAGUAGUAACUGGCUGUACCUUGACGGUACCUUAUUAGAAAGCCACGGCUAACUACGUGCCAGCAGCCGCGGUAAUACGUAGGUGGCAAGCGUUGUCCGGAAUUAUUGGGCGUAAAGCGCGCGCAGGUGGUUUCUUAAGUCUGAUGUGAAAGCCCACGGCUCAACCGUGGAGGGUCAUUGGAAACUGGGAGACUUGAGUGCAGAAGAGGAUAGUGGAAUUCCAAGUGUAGCGGUGAAAUGCGUAGAGAUUUGGAGGAACACCAGUGGCGAAGGCGACUAUCUGGUCUGUAACUGACACUGAGGCGCGAAAGCGUGGGGAGCAAACAGGAUUAGAUACCCUGGUAGUCCACGCCGUAAACGAUGAGUGCUAAGUGUUAGGGGGUUUCCGCCCCUUAGUGCUGCAGCUAACGCAUUAAGCACUCCGCCUGGGGAGUACGGUCGCAAGACUGAAACUCAGAGGAAUUGACGGGGGCCCGCACAAGCGGUGCAGCAUGUGGUUUAAUUCGAAGCACCGCGAAGAACCUUACCAGGUCUUGACAUCCCGUUGACCACUGUAGAGAUAUGGUUUCCCCUUCGGGGGCAACGGUGACAGGUGGUGCAUGGUUGUCGUCAGCUCGUGUCGUGAGAUGUUGGGUUAAGUCCCGCAACGAGCGCAACCCUUGAUCUUAGUUGCCAUCAUUUAGUUGGGCACUCUAAGGUGACUGCCGGUGACAAACCGGAGGAAGGUGGGGAUGACGUCAAAUCAUCAUGCCCCUUAUGACCUGGGCUACACACGUGCUACAAUGGACGAUACAAACGGUUGCCAACUCGCGAGAGGGAGCUAAUCCGAUAAAGUCGUUCUCAGUUCGGAUUGUAGGCUGCAACUCGCCUACAUGAAGCCGGAAUCGCUAGUAAUCGCGGAUCAGCAUGCCGCGGU